CUUAUACGUUCAGGUAUUUCACAUCCAAUUUUUUAUGGAAAUAUUUUUUAUAAAACACAAAGGUGUCAGUAUUCACCUCAAAAACUAACAAAACCUUUGAAUAGACUUAUUAAGAAGGGAUAUAGUUACGAUACUGUUGUCAGGUCAUUAAAGAUUGCAUAUUUUGGCGUUAAUAUUGAUUCACUUAUAGGGUCUUUGCAUCGGAACUAAACACA
rnacentral:lncRNA from 1 species